UAGGGAAUCUUCCACAAUGGACGAAAGUCUGAUGGAGCAACGCCGCGUGAGUGAAGAAGGGUUUCGGCUCGUAAAACUCUGUUGUUAAAGAAGAACAUAUCUGAGAGUAACUGUUCAGGUAUUGACGGUAUUUAACCAGAAAGCCACGGCUAACUACGUG
rnacentral:rRNA from 2 species